CAUAAUGUGGGAAUCUGGGUGUUAAACCCACCAGCAGAAUUUAGUAUCUUGAGAGAUGCUAGAACCUCACUGAGCUCCUGUUUGGAAGUCUUCAGAACACUUUGAUUUAAAAGUCCUUUGCUGAUUAAAUAUAUUCUUACACUUCGUGGCCGAAAUGGGAUCCGUUCAUGGUUCAUAUUCAUCCCUGGAAUGAUCACAGACAUCUUCCUAGGACCUUUAAAUCCAAACACAUUUGUUUCCUGGAAUAUAGGAAAAUAAGACAGAACUUGGAAACAGAAAAGAAAACAAGACCACAUUCUUCACACAAGACUCAUUUGGGCAUGUAAAAUGCUGACAAUGUCAAGAGUACUAAACCUGCUUAUUACUGUAGUUUAAACAAAGAGAGACAGAUAAUCAAGACCAGGAAAGUAAUGAUAUUUCUCUUUUUUAAACCUAAUUUGAACAUUUGAAUGUAAAAUAGAUUAUUUUGGCUUGAAAAUUUACUCUUUAAUCUUAAAUGAACUUUGAGACAACUGUGAGCAAACUGUCCAAUUUUGUCAUCAAUAAAUAUUUUUGUCCCAAUGAGGGAAUAGCGCUAUCUGAUCUAAAGUGAGAAUUACAGUGUAAAUUAAGUGGGGCCUGUAUUAGGAGGUAAAAACUCAAAUGCCUGUCAAGCCAGACAGAUUAUAUAUAAAUAAAAUAAGCACAUUAAAUA